rnacentral:rRNA from 7 species
CAUUUGUCUUUUAAUUGAAGACUUGUAUGAAUGGUUGAACGAGAAAAUAACUGUCUCUUUAAAAAAUCUUGAAUUUUACUUUUAAGUGAAAAGGCUUAAAUAAUUUUAAGGGACGAUAAGACCCUAUAAAUCUUUAUAUUAUUUUCUUUAACUUUCAAAUUAUAUAUUAAAAGAAAAACAAAGAAAAAAUAUUCUAUUGGGGAGAUAAAAAUAUAAUUUUUAACUGUUUUAAACAUAAAACAAUAAUUUUUGAUUUAUUAAAAAAUGAUCCUUUUUAAAGAUUUUAAGAUUAAGUUACUUUAGGGAUAACAGCGUAAUUUUUUUUGAGAGUUCUUAUCGAAAAAAAAGUUUGCGACCUCGAUGUUGAAUUAAAAUAUCCUUAUAAGUGUAGAAGCUAUAGAGGAAA